GAGGCACUUCUCCGUUUGUAAAACUGCUGAGCUGGCAGUGACUUGUCUCGUGCUUUGUCCUGCGUAGGGAAUGGCUCGCGGCAAUGCAGCGCGUGUGCACCGCGGAGCUCCUGGUGCGUAGCUGCUCCUGGCUACACCAGCUGCCCUGGCACCGGAGGGAACGGGCCCCUUCACCAACGUGUGUUGUGGGUUAAAGCCCUCAGAAUACUGUGGGUGCGUGGAAUGCGUGAGGCUUUACCUAUUGCCAGCAGCACGUAGCCCUGUUAUGCUGUUAGUCUUUCCUUCCAUCUUCACGGAGGUAGCUGAGAACAUUCACGUCAUGCUGUUUUCUUCCUCCUUCCUCAGAGAAGGGUUUGCUCACGUGCUUUGUUUUGGCAAUUGGCAUUAUUUCCUUCGGUGUACGCAUUUAUGUAUGUUUAUGUAGAAGUAAGUGUCUACAAAUAUAGUGUGCUCGUGCAGAGUUCAUGGUGGUGAGACUUGCUUAGCUCUGUGCCCUAACCCCGUCUCCUGCCCAGACGAGCGCUGCGCUCCUGGCUGCGUCUUGAACGUGAGGAACAGAGCUGUCAUCCACAAAUGCUGUGCUGAGGUUAACAGAAAGGGGGCCCAAGACCUGAGGUUUUACUCAGCAGUCUCCGAGGACGCAAAGCAGAAAGCAGAGACAGAUGUCUGAUAGGGAUUGAAUGUGGGAUGGAAGUGUGCAGUGGUCACUGAUGAAAAGUAUAUUUGCUCCCAGGUAGAAUACAGAGAUACUCAUACAUGCUUUUCAGAGAGAUGAGAAACAGCAGUUCUGGAGCAACUGUCAGAGUUCUGUUAGCAACUGCCACUGUGCUAGUAACUACCAUUUAUUAUACUACUACUACACUGCAUGACAUUUAUUAAAACAAUUAUUAAGACAGAGGCAUUAACUACAUUUAUACUUGCAUCCUCUAAGCAUCUUGCUUUAUAACACCCACCCUACCAAAAAUCAUUGUUCUGACUUGAGAUUCAUUGAGGAAGACAGUUCCUCCAUCAAGUGGUAAGGAAUGUUACAGUGCCGGCUCUGAGUGUAGAUGGAUCUAAUUCGGCUGUUUUUGAAAUGUAUGAUUCCCUAAAUAUGUUUAACCUUCUGUCUGACAUUUUGCCCUUACUGCAAGGAAAAUUUAUCAUUUCCAUAUUUUUUUAUAAAUAGGAUGAAGAUGUUAAUAGUUGCUAAAUUUACAGCAGAAAAACCCAACCAUUCUGUUUCUUUUACCAUCCCUCUUGAAUCAGCAGGCUCCUGGAGCCCUUUGUCCAUAGCUUCUAAAGAAAGCUCCAAAUUUUUAAUUUCACUUCCCACUGCAAGUGUUAUCUUAGUUGUUGAGUAAGACCCAGUCUCCCUGCAGGAAGCUGUUAUUAAUUCUAAUUUGAUGAAGCCUUCAUUUUCAACAGUGAUUAUAAUUAUCACCCAGUGUCUACUCACUCUCUUUCUUAGCAGGGGGGAAUAAUGGUACUGAUGGGAAUGAGAGCUCUCUUCCCUUCUCAUUGAGCAUAACUAUCCUUCUUUUUUCUUUGUUUAUAUCAAACUUUUCAAAGCAUCACAGCAUAGAAAUGCCAGUGGACAGCUACCAUCGUAAUUACCUGAUGUACAUUAUUUCUGCAAUCUAGACUGGUAAUACACACACUUCUGAAAAAAAUUCUAAAUGGACUUGGAAUUGUGAGGCUGUUGGUAAUCAUACUCUGGUAAAGUCUGCAGCAGUGACUUGCAACAUGUGCAGAUAGUGCAGCAUGGAAGCAGAACAUGGAUCCAGCGUGAAUUCUAUCACAAGAUCUCAAGAUGUCAGUGUCUGUUUUGCUGCUGGGACAGAAGGAUGUCACAAGCAGGAAACUCAAAGUCCACUUGCAGAUUGAGGCAGACUCUCCAUGACUUUCUGUUGACAGAAGGAAGGACUGAACUCCUUGAUGGCACCUAAGAGAAGGUUGAAAGAAGGUGAUUAAGAAGAUCACAGCUAUAAGACACCUGUACUUCUGUGAGCUUUGGUGUUUUUAGUAACAGUGCACCAUCCUGUGAUCUACAAAACAAAACUUUGAUGGAAGUCUAGAAGAGUCAGGUCUUCACCUGGCUUUGAUCAACUGACGUUUGAUAUGACAGAAGGACUUGUAUCACCCAUCUUAGAGUGACACCCU